GUUCGCUUUGUGAGCACAUAUGCUACCAUCGGAGCAAUACAGAGAUUAGCGUGGCCCCUGUUCAAGGAUGACAUGCCCAUCUGUGAAGCGUUCCAUUAAAAA
ensembl:snRNA U6 U6 spliceosomal RNA